UACGGAGGGGGCUAGCGUUGUUCGGAAUUACUGGGCGUAAAGCGCACGUAGGCGGCUUUGUAAGUUAGAGGUGAAAGCCCGGGGCUCAACUCCGGAAUUGCCUUUAAGACUGCAUCGCUAGAAUUGUGGAGAGGUAAGUGGAAUUCCGAGUGUAGAGGUGAAAUUCGUAGAUAUUCGGAAGAACACCAGUGGCGAAGGCGACUCACUGGACCAUUACUGACGCUGAUGCACGAAAGCUAGGGGAGCAAACAGG
rnacentral:rRNA from 1 species